rnacentral:rRNA from 1 species
GACGAACGCUGGCGGCGUGCUUAACACAUGCAAGUCGAACGGUAAGGCCCUUCGGGGUACACGAGUGGCGAACGGGUGAGUAACACGUGGGUGAUCUGCCCUGCACUUCGGGAUAAGCCUGGGAAACUGGGUCUAAUUCCGGAUAGGACCACUGCCUGCAUGGGUGGUGGUGGAAAGCUUUUGCGGUGUGGGAUGGGCCCGCGGCCUAUCAGCUUGUUGGUGGGGUGAUGGCCUACCAAGGCGACGACGGGUAGCCGGCCUGAGAGGGUGACCGGCCACACUGGGACUGAGAUACGGCCCAGACUCCUACGGGAGGCAGCAGUGGGGAAUAUUGCGCAAUGGGCGCAAGCCUGAUGCAGCGACGCCGCGUGAGGGAUGACGGCCUUCGGGUUGUAAACCUCUUUCAGCACAGACGAAGCGCAAGUGACGGUAGGUGCAGAAGAAGGACCGGCCAACUACGUGCCAGCAGCCGCAGUAA